GACGAACGCUGGCGGCGUGCUUAACACAUGCAAGUCGAACGAUGAAGCCCAGCUUGCUGGGUGGAUUAGUGGCGAACGGGUGAGUAAUACGUGAGUAACCUGCCUUUAACUCUGGGAUAAGCCUUGGAAACGGGGUCUAAUACCGGAUACGACCAACCCUCGCAUGGGGUGUUGGUGGAAAGGGAUUUUGUACUGGUUUUAGAUGGGCUCACGGCCUAUCAGCUUGUUGGUGAGGUAACGGCUCACCAAGGCGACGACGGGUAGCCGGCCUGAGAGGGUGACCGGCCACACUGGGACUGAGACACGGCCCAGACUCCUACGGGAGGCAGCAGUGGGGAAUAUUGCACAAUGGGCGCAAGCCUGAUGCAGCGACGCCGCGUGAGGGAUGACGGCCUUCGGGUUGUAAACCUCUUUCAGCAGGGGAGAAGCGAAAGUGACGGUACCUGCAGAAGAAGCGCCGGCUAACUACGUGCCAGCAGCCGCGGUAAUACGUAGGGCGCGAGCGUUGUCCGGAAUUAUUGGGCGUAAAGAGCUUGUAGGGCGGUUUGUCGCGUCUGCUGUGAAAGCCCGGGGCUUAACCCCGGGUUUGCAGUGGGUACGGGCAGACUAGAGUGCAGUAGGGGAGACUGGAAUUCCUGGUGUAGCGGUGAAAUGCGCAGAUAUCAGGAGGAACACCAAUGGCGAAGGCAGGUCUCUGGGCUGUAACUGACGCUGAGAAGCGAAAGCAUGGGGAGCGAACAGGAUUAGAUACCCUGGUAGUCCAUGCCGUAAACGUUGGGCACUAGGUGUGGGGAACAUUCCACGUUUUCCGCGCCGUAGCUAACGCAUUAAGUGCCCCGCCUGGGGAGUACGGCCGCAAGGCUAAAACUCAAAGAAAUUGACGGGGGCCCGCACAAGCGGCGGAGCAUGCGGAUUAAUUCGAUGCAACGCGAAGAACCUUACCAAGGCUUGACAUAUACUGGACCGCUCUAGAGAUAGAGUUUCCCUUUUAGGGCUGGUAUACAGGUGGUGCAUGGUUGUCGUCAGCUCGUGUCGUGAGAUGUUGGGUUAAGUCCCGCAACGAGCGCAACCCUCGUUCUAUGUUGCCAGCACGUAAUGGUGGGGACUCAUAGGAGACUGCCGGGGUUAACUCGGAGGAAGGUGGGGAUGACGUCAAAUCAUCAUGCCCCUUAUGUCUUGGGCUUCACGCAUGCUACAAUGGCCGGUACAAAGGGUUGCGAUACUGUGAGGUUGAGCUAAUCCCAAAAAGCCGGUCUCAGUUCGGAUUGGGGUCUGCAACUCGACCCCAUGAAGUCGGAGUCGCUAGUAAUCGCAGAUCAGCAACGCUGCGGUGAAUACGUUCCCGGGCCU
rnacentral:rRNA from 1 species